rnacentral:rRNA from 1 species
GACGAACGCUGGCGGCGUGCUUAACACAUGCAAGUCGAACGGAAAGGCCCUGCUUUUGUGGGGUUCUCGAGUGGCGAACGGGUGAGUAACACGUGAGUAACCUGCCCUUGACUUUGGGAUAACUUCAGGAAACUGGGGCUAAUACCGGAUAGGAGCUCCUGCUGCAUGGGGGGGGUUGGAAAGUUUCGGCGGUUGGGGAUGGACUCGCGGCUUAUCAGCUUGUUGGUGGGGUAGUGGCUUACCAAGGCUUUGACGGGUAGCCGGCACGAGAGGGUGACCGGCCACAUUGGGACUGCGAUACGGCCCAGACUCCUACGGGAGGCAGCAGUGGGGAAUAUUGCCCAAUGGGCGCAAGCCUGAUGCAGCAACGCCGCGUGCGGAAUGACGGCCUUCGGGUUGUAAACCGCUUUCGCCUGUGACGAAGCGUGAGUGACGGUAAUGGGUAAAGAAGCACCGGCUAACUACGUG